AAUUCCUUUUUGUUAAUUUUUUUCAUCAAAAUAAAUAAAGAAAAAAUAAAAUAAUUAAGUUGUUUUACUUUGUUUUGUUAAAAAAAAAUUGGAUAAUAUUAUUUUAUCAAAUUUGAGACCCGAUUAAUCAAACAAUGAGGCCUAACUAAAGGUAAACUGGUAUUUUAAAAAUUGUAAACUCUAAAUUUAGUAGUAAUGGCCAAUGAAGGGAGGAGUAGCCACUGCAUCCAUUCCUUAUCUCAUUUCCUC
rnacentral:lncRNA from 1 species